AAGAAUUUAAGUUAAAAAAACUAAUAACCUUCAAAGUUAUCUUUAAAUCAUCAAUUUAAUUCUUA
rnacentral:tRNA from 1 species